AAUCCAUGAUGUGGGCAUUUCCUCAACAACUCUCUGUAACGCUCCCAUACUUCAUAUAAUGACUCUCCAUCUACCUGCAUAAAAUUAGUGAUUACGCAUCCUUGCAGUUU